AAAAAUGUGUCGUUAUUUUAAUGUCAUGUACCUUUAUGAUUGUUUUGAAACUUGAAACACCAAAAUUAAGAGUUGAACAUUUGUCAUGUACUGUUCUUAAACUUUUUCCUAAAAUGUAUAAACGAACGGACCAAGUUGUUUCACCUAGUGAAACAUCAACUUGAGGAAAACUGUUGUCGGGGCUUAAGCUCUUAAAAUCCCUAAUGAACAAAAUAAAAAGUCAAUUACAAACUGUAACACCUUGACCCAGAUUUAAUUCAAGGGUAUAGUACCCAAAAUUCACUAAUUUCACUCAAAACUCAAUUAUCUAUAGAACUAAUACCUGACAAAUCCUGACAUGAGAGCCAAGUCUGAAGUCUCUAACCUCAGGUACAACGAAUCGUAGCUGGAAUACCCACCAAUUGAGUAAUUGAAAUUGUGGCGGCAGCACAAUGAAGAGAGGAAUUGAAUGAGAUAUUCCCGUCCAUCUUGUGGCUUGAUUGAGACAUCGAUUAGGGGUUUAGAAGCCUUGAAGCUUCUUGAGCCCUCUAUAGUCGAGACAGGUGAGAGAAGAAAUCCUCGGUCUCAAUCGCGUGUCUCAGGAUCGGUGGAGAAGAACCGUCUCCGGGAGCCGUGAUUUCUCUCAAGCCUUCUUCCCCCUCCUCUUGAUUGAUCCCAGAAAUCUCCCUCUCUCCCCUUCUCAAGGUCGGUGUUUUUAGAGAGGCCUCCUCUCCCGAGAGAUUUCUAGAGCUCUCCCUACGUCGGUCAUCCCCCCAAAGUCGAGAAUGACGUGGUCAUAUGAAGAACCCUCCUUCUUUCUCAUAUCUUCCCGACCUUUCCAAAUUAAUUUUUUUAAUUAUAUUUUUUAUAUAAAAUAUUUAUUUAUUAUUUCUAAAUUAUCCGGGUAUUACACAAAUUAUAUAGCACUGAACACACUACUAUCUCUAAACCCCUAAAAAAUAUAUGUUUAAAAUGCUCUUCUUCUUCAAAUAAUAUUCUGUUUCAACCUUCAAAGAACUGGCCUCAUCCUUAAAGCUCUUCAAUCACAACUCUAGACCUAGAGAGUGUGAUGAACAAAUAAACAAAAGUUCACCUCAACACAGAAUAAGUAAACAUUGACCUUUUAGUAUUUUGCAACAGAAGAACUCAAUCACUCCAAGAAAUAGAUUAUGUUAUUCAUUUCUUUGAGCUAGGUAGACGAUGUAGGGAAUUAGUCCUUUCAUCAAACUCGAAAGUUAGGGUGACACGACCCACCCCAAAUUUCACCCUGAAACCCAGAGUAAGUCGUGCGGGGACCAACUCCAAGGAAAAUUUUACCGAAAAAUCGGUAUAACCUCCCUUGAAAAUGGACAACCCUUCCUAAUAAUAUCUGCAAACACUUCUGAAAAUUUAAAUCCAACCUUAAACUCCUGGAGCCUCCGUGCUACCCAAAUCACAACACCACCCAAAUUAUUUACUAAUCUAAACAAAUCUCAUAUCCAACCAUUUAUCGGUUCAGAGCAACUCUAACAGGAAGAAAGAAAACAUAAUAAAUUAACGAGCGGAAGCUACAUGAUGACUAUGCCUCAUCCCCAUGUACGCCCGACCUCAACUAUGCAAUCCUGCAAACUGGGCAUUUUUAAAAUGAAGAGCCCAGGGGAAAACAUUUGAAACACGUUAGAGUGAGUGGACAAAAACAAAUUAACGAAUAAAAUAUUUAUGUUUUCCCUAAUCAAUUUCCAAGAAAAAUCGAAUGCAUGCUGCAAGCGAUAAAACUUUUAUCUCAUAAAUGUCGAGCCUCUCAGGCUCUAUAAUAUAUGUAUGUAUUUACACACGUCCAUACUCCCUAUAUAAAUUCAUGGGUCUAUAUAGGGCUACUACGCUCGCGUCCAACGCUCACGUCACGCCUUAAUGCGGUGCUACACUACGCCAUUAAGGUGGACAGACGGGUGUAUAAAUAUGUGCCCAUACCCCCUAUAUGAAUUAAACACUCAUAUAGGGCUACUACGCUCGCGUCCAAUGCUCACGUCACACCAUAAUGCGGCUAUAUGCUACGCCAUUAAGGUUGACAGACACAUAUGGCUAGCUAGCAUUAUAUAUACAUACUCUCUCUCAUAAAUACAUAUUUAUAUCCACCGAAAAUCCCAUUUUCGGUAACUCUCCAAGAGAAAUAAGAUUGUCAAAAAUUAAAAUGACGUCAAAAUGCUCCACGACAUUAAUUGUUCAUUCAUGAACCAUAGCAUGCAUAUUAUUUAAAACAAAAGUCCACUCACAACUCUAGGCAUAUGCCCGACGAAAUCCAAAUCGCCACUCCAGAGAGGUUUCCUCGAACCCUGGCACAAAUAUAAAAUUAAUUUCCCAACUAAAACUCCAAUAUUUAAACAAAAUAGGCAAAAUUAACCGAGAGCCAUAACUACGCUCAUCAUUGCCUAACUUCGAUAUUCUUAAAUCGAAACGAUCCGAACUUAAAUAUCAUACUCAGCAGCCGUAAUUACAACCUCCCCAAAAAUACGACUUAAAUCCUACGGCCGGAUUCUACAUUAAUUAACUGCCAAAAAUACCACACUUCGGAAAUUCAUAAACCUAUCCAAAACUCAUCCAAAAAUUCCAUAACUCACUUCAACAAACUCCCCUUAAUAUUCUAAAUUAAACCCUAAAAUCUUCCAAACAGUGGCGGCGCCGGCUGCGGCUCCGCGGGCAGCGGCGGCCGGAGGUCAAUUACGGCGACCUCCGAUUCUUAUGAAAUUUUGACAGCAUCUUCCUCUCAUCAUGCUCUACAACUUUCCUAACUAGCACAAACCCAAAUCCAAGCCUAACUAGGUCAAACGAGCAAAAAACAUCUAAAACACCCUAGAACUUCCACCUCUAAUUCUCCUUACCUGAAGCGAACCGGAGUGAGCCCUUUUAGGGCAAGGUAGCUGGGUUGGAGACCUUCAAAACCGUACCAAGCUUGCCCGGAUUGGUGGCCGGAGGAGGGAGUUCCGGCGAAGUGAAGCUUUGGACAGUCGGACCUUUCGGGUGGCACCGCUCUCUCACGGCGGAGCUAGGGCUCCUCUCACCGGUCCAGGGAGGUUGCUGGGUUGGAGGUCGACCGAACGGGACCGGUGCGGCGGCGGUUGGUGGCCGGACGGCGGCGGGAGGACUGCCAGAAAACCGGGCAGCGGGAGGAGCUCGGGGAGAGAGAAAACCGGGAAGAAAAAAAAGAGAAGAGAGAAAGUGGCUUUGGGCCUCCUCCCCCAAAACCGGUCCAACUUAAAUACCCAUUUAAAACAAACCCAACUCCAAAAAUAAAACACCCCGAAAAAUAAUACCUGAAUAAAAAUUACCUUUUACUAGCUAAAAUUUACUAUUUUUACCGUCGUCAUAUUUUCCUCCUACGAAUAAUCCUCCGAGCAUAACCGUCCCCGAAACCCCUCUAGGGACCAAUUAAACUAUAACUUCAAUGACGGAGACGGUAAAAUUCUUAUUAUAACCAAGCUAGUAAAUAAGGUAAAAAUUUACUGGUCGGGAUGUGACAAUUCUCCCCUCCUUAUAAAAAUUUCGUCCUCGAAAUUUACAUACCUGACAUUCGAAGAGAUAGGGAUACUGCUACCUCAUUUGCUCCUCUGAUUCCCAAGUAGCUUCUUCUACUUGGUGACUCCUCCACAGAAUUUAACAAGAGGAAAAGAUUUGCUUCUAAGCAGUUGCUCCCUCUGGUCUAAAAACUGAACCGGAUCCUCAUCAAAGGUCAAAUCUUUCUACAAAAUAAUCCGCUGCUCUUGCAACCCAUGAGAGAAAUCGGCAAUAAACUUGCUAAGCAUGGAUACAUGAAACACAUUAUGUAUCCUGGAUAACUCUGGAGGCAAAACCAACUGAAACGCAAGAGAGCCAACUUGAUCUAAAAACCCAUAAGGACCAAUAAAUCUCGGACCAAGCUUUGCACGUUACUAAAACGUACCACCCCUUUCCAAUGAGACAAUUUCGAAAACACCCAAAAUACUCACUUGAAACUCAUGGUCCUUCCUGCGAACAUCUUUAAAACUCUACUAACUACUAAGAGCUGCUUUAAGUCUAACUCUGACUCUUUUAACCUUUUCAUCUGAAUCCUGAAUUAUUUUAAAUCUUCUCGAAGACUCUAAGUCCUUCGUUGAACUACCACUAACGUUAACACGUAAGUGAGUUCAGUGAUACCUAUUCCAGAGUACGAGUACCCGUAGGUAUGCACACUCUUUCCUAAGCAAUGGAAAUAGCUAACCCAAAUAAAACGCAUAAAUUUGCUAUCACAAUCGGGCUCAAAUCUCCUAACGUCACGCAACAACCUUGAUAGCACGCUACUCACAACUCGACAAUGAAGGCCACUUGCUAGGAAACUAAAGUUCACAUAUUCCCACAUGCUCAUAGGGGUCAAAAUUAAGACCCGCUAAUUGAACAGAUUUUUAAGGAUGCAGACACUACAGAACUGCAACAAUCACUCCUACUACUGAGACACCUCGCAGAGUCUUUCGCGGAGCCAAAGCUCUCGCAAGUCCACAAGAUAACCUUGCUCUGCCUAAAUGACCAGUCCACCAACAUAUGAUAACCUCGAUUGCCGAAAUAACAUUAUGAAAAGAUCAAUACCACGACACUUAGAUCUCUCCGCCAAAACUAUUACAUUACCAUUUUAUGCACCACAAACUAGCAACUUAUGGGAAUUUCCAACUCUCUCCUGAUUCUGCUAUCUCCACUAUUAUUUACCACAAACCAGAAGAUAAUCUGAAGCAUGAUUAANNNNNNNNNNNNNNNNNNNNAUUAAAAAAAAAAACACACGGCUCACUCUAGCCGUUCCAUAAGAAUGAUUCUAAAUGCCGAAACCUUUGGAUCCGACAAACACAUUUCUUUUUCUACCUCCAAAAAUAAUUAAUCUGAUAGAAGAAGACGAUCUGAAAAAUCAGACACGCUCAAGUCUCCUACACAUCCCAGGGCCAUGACUUCCCACCAAAAAGAUUCUUCGAAAACCGAGCUUGCAAUAACAUGCGACUAACAAAAACAAAGACAAAUUUUUAUACAAGACCUCCCAAAUCAUACUUGGAUCAAUAAGUGGUCCCACCACAAUACGAUCCCGAGAAGAGACGCUGAUCAACCUAUCAAAAACUACUACUCUUAAUAUUAAAACUCUUAAUAAACCUUGACUCUAGACGCUUCUUGAGUCAACAGGGGAAAACCCUCUUCCAUAAUGCUACAUCAUGAAAUAUACCUACAACGACACAAACCAUCAAAUCAACAUCACCAUGCAACUCUUAAACUACCACAUAGGAUUUACAACAUCAAGACUCAUUGCUUAAAUGAACUCCAGUUCACUUGGGAUCACCACUGGAUUUAUUCCGGAUCCAUGACUACGACACAACUACCAAUUUAUCAUUUACCUCAAAACUGCGACAAAAUAACCAGAAUCUCUACCCUUCAAAUCUAAGCGUUAAAUCCGCAUUCCAAAAUUUCAAGCUCUGAGGCUGCUACCCAAAAACUACAAUAGGAAUAGUUUAAAUAUUCUCACACACACCACAACCAAAACUUUACUCCAUCUCACCGAAUUAGAAAUAAGGUGAGAACAGAUCCUCCCAUUGUUGUGUCGUAGUUAGUCACCCAUUGCGACGAAGUGAUGCCAAAAAUCAACUUUGAUCACAAAUUUGAGACUUACAUCAACCACCCGGAAUGACAUUGCUUAAAAAUUACUUUGGACACCCACACACUCUUGCUUUAUGAUCCAGUGGGUUCUAUUCUACCGCUGCCACUUCCACCAAUUUCAUGCAACUACCUUAGAAUUUAUAAAACAAAAACUCAUGACAAGACCUAUUUAAAAUUUCACCAUGAGCUGUCGUAAAACCGAAACGACCACAACCAUCCCGCUCUUACUCCACCAUUACUUUUCAAUUCCAUUUAAAUUUAUCAUCUUCCCAAACACUCAACAAAUUUGGAAACCAAACUUCAACACCCAGAAUUCUGAAAGAAUCCAUAACGGCCCCACGAUUAAAAUACUAUAGCCGACAGAAGUCGCUCAAUGCUUUAAAGCUUGCUCGAAGCUCGAAACUUUUGAUGACACCAUUCAAUUUGCAAUAAUUCCCCGACCGCGACAUAAUAUCAAGUUGUCACAACGCAUUGACGAAUGACUUUUGUAAAACCAACAAUCCAAGUCAUUUUACUUAGUGCUUUAACAAACUUCAACUAACCCACAAUAAAGACCAAAAUCAUCAGAAAUCUUACUAUUCAUCGACUACUAACAUCCAUCAUUUUCAAAAUAUAUUACCACUACCAUCUGGAUAAAAUAGCUCUAAGGAUAGAAACAUAUCCAUAAUUAAGUCACUGCAGAAACCAGAACAUAUACCGCCAUAACCAAAAUUAUCCCAACAUGUUCCCAAUUGAUUUAUGUUGGGGAUAAAAUUGUCGGCAAAAUGGCCUUCAAUCAAGACUUAUCUAAAUUGACAUUUAGCUCUUUAUGCAGCAAUACCUUACCACCCAAUCACUAGCCACAAAUUUCCUAAAACCUUGAUUAACCCAAGACUAGGGUCCUCAACAACUCAUAUAGGUACCCAUUUGAAUUACCAUUGGAUACCUCACCUCAUCAUUUCAACUAACUUUUUCAUCAAUAGAAUACACCACUACUUCGAACUUUCCUUCCAACUCAACUCUCUCAGAAGUCACGUAACUCAAUACCAAAAUCUCCCAUCAAUCAAUUUUUGACUCCAAUCUUGCCCACUAAAAAAAAUGGACAACUUCAAGACAUUAAUCAUCAACAUUUCACCCAACAGAUUUGCACAAGAUGCUCACCUUAGCAUCUUAAUCUGAAACCUUAAUCUUAAUUAACCCAAUCAAUCAUUGGAUACCUGAAAGGAAUGCUAACAAGCUUUUUCGUUCCCCACUCGCAAAACAACUCCAACAAUUAAUAUCAAAGAUAUUAAAUUAAUGAACCUUGGAAUAGGUGCAAACUAUACACCUUUUCAAAACUCGAAGGAUGAACACUCAAGAAGUCAGCGUACGGAGGCAUAGUCUUAGAGAUGUAGACAUUUAUGGCACACUACUGUCCAUAAAUAAAAGAAGAACAACUACAUCACAACCCUAAUCAACACAUAGUGUCUUAAGCAUAUAAUGCUAAUAGAUCCGCCGCGGUCGGACCAUCACUCUAUAGACACUGAGCAUGAUCAAGAAUAUGAGGUAGUACUAAAAAGAGAAAGGAAACGAAUAACCUAGUGCUCUGAUACCAACUGACACGACCCACCCCAAAUUUCACCCUGAAACCCAGAGUAAGUCGUGUGGGGACCAACUCCAAGGAAAAUUUUACAGAAAAAUCCACUUCUGAAAAUUUAAAUCCAACCUUAAACUCCUAGAGCCUCCGUGCUCCCCAAAUCACAACACCACCCAAAUUAUUUACUAAUCUAAACAAAUCUCAUAUCCAACCAUUUAUAGGUUCAGAGCAACUCUAACAGGAAGAAAGAAAACAUAAUAAAUUAACAAGCGGAAGCUACAUGAUGACUAUGCCUCAUCCCCAUGUACGCCCGACCUCAACUAUGCAAUCCUGCAAACUGGGCAUUUUUAAAACGAAGAGCCCAGGGGAAAACAUUUGAAACACGUUAGAAUGAGUGGACAAAAACAAAUUAACGAAUAAAAUAUUUAUGUUUCCCCUAAUCAAUUUCCAAGAAAAAUCGAAUGCAUGCUGCAAGCGAUAAAACUUUUAUCUCAUAAAUGUCGAGCCUCUCAGGCUCUAUAAUAUAUGUAUGUAUUUACACACGUCCAUACUCCCUAUAUAAAUUCAUAGGUCUAUAUAGGGCUACUACGCUCGCGUCCAACGCUCACGUCACACCAUAAUGCGGCUAUAUGCUACGCCAUUAAGGUGGACAGACACAUAUGGCUAGCUAGCAUUUUAUAUACAUACUCUCUCUCAUAAAUACAUAUUUAUAUCCACCGAAAAUCUCAUUUUCGGUAACUCUCCAAGAGAAAUAAGAUUGUCAAAAAUUAAAAUGACGUCAAAAUGCUCCACGACAUUAAUUGUUCAUUCAUGAACCAUAGCAUGCAUAUUAUUUAAAACAAAAGUCCACUCACAACUCUAGGCAUAUGCCCGAUGAAAUCCAAAUCGCCACUCCAGAGAGGUUUCCUCGAACCCUGGCACAAAUAUAAAAUUAAUUUCCCAACUAAUACUCCAAUAUUUAAACAAAAUAGGCAAAAUUAACCGAGAGCCAUAACUACGCUCAUCAUUGCCUAACUUUGAUAUUCUUAAAUCGAAACGAUCCGAACUUAAAUAUCAUACUCAGCAGCCGUAAUUACAGCCUCCCCAAAAAUACGACUUAAAUCCUACGGCCGGAUUCUACAUUAAUUAACCGCCAAAAAUACCACACUUCGGAAAUUCAUAAACCUAUCCAAAACUCAUCCAAAAAUUCCAUAACUCACUUCAACAAACUCCCCUUAAUAUUCUAAAUUUAAAACCCUAAAAAUCUUCCAAACAGUGGCGGCGCCGGCGCCGGCUCCGCGGGCANNNNNNNN
rnacentral:lncRNA from 1 species